CGACAGGUACAGCUGCUUAGCGUCAUCUUACGCUCAGUUCGCGUCUCCCGUCGAAGAAAAGUGUUGCUUUUUUCUUUCGCUGAUCGUUAAUAUCGUUUACGGGUACAGAAAACACGCUAAUCGGUGAUUUAAUUGGUGGCAUAUGAACAUAUCCGUUGGCCCCACAUCUUUACGCGUUUGUGUACAUGUUAGUUUGUGAAUCAAUAAACAAGUUUAUAAAUUAUUCAUUAAAACCAAUUUUGGAAGUCAUUCGCCCCUGAUUGGAAUCUUGGCAAGGGCUACGAAUCAAUGUUCCACACAAACAACACACCCAAAUAGCAAAACAUUCAACAAUUGGAGUGCAAAUAUUGAUAUUAUGGAGUCGACAGACGGACGGUAGGGACGGGGUGGACCGCACCGUCUAAUUUGCACAACUCUUUUCUUUUGCCGCUGCCUUGGCAAAGUUUAAAGUGACAGGAUUAACAGGAUGUUGCAUAAUCCGACCGUCAGACACAUGAACAGGAUAUGCCUGCAUGGCCCAGACAGGAACAGGACAGGACAGGACAGGACGGAGCACGGCGUUCUUUCACGACACACACAAAAAAAUGCAUAAUGCAAAUUACACAUUUGCAACCCUCCGAAAAAAGCUUUCACAGGAUUUACAUACGAACAUAGGAAUAUGUAUGAAUGAUGUUAUGUACAA